rnacentral:rRNA from 1 species
CCUACGGGAGGCAGCAGUGGGGAAUAUUGCACAAUGGGGGAAACCCUGCUGCAGCAACGCCGCGUGAAGGAAGACGGUUUUCGGAUUGUAAACUUCUGUUCUUAGUGAAGAAUAAUGACGGUAGCCAAGGAGCAAGCCACGGCUAACUACGUGCCAGCAGCCGCGGUAAUCCGUAGGUGGCAAGCGUUGUCCGGAAUUACUGGGUGUAAGGGGAGCGCAGGCGGGAAGCCAAGUCAGCUGUGAAAACUACGGGCUUAACUUGGAGACUGCAGGUGAAACUGGUUUUCUUGAGUGAAGUAGAGGUUGGCGGAAUUCCGAGUGUAGCGGUGAAAUGCGUAGAUAUUCGGAGGAACACCGGUGGCGAAGGCGGCCAACUGGGCUUUAACUGACGCUGAGGCUCGAAAGUGUGGGGAGCAAACAGGAUUAGAUACCCCUGUAGUC